rnacentral:ncRNA from 2 species
CCCACAAUUCAAGGAUAGGGUUGCUUCUUCACGAAGCAUGAAAAGGGAAGUCGGGUGAGAAUCCCGCGCGGUUGCGCCGCCGUAACGGUCGACGAUCGUCCCAUAUCUCCCUGUUGGGAGAUGGUCACUGUGCCUGCCAGGGCAUGGGAAGACGGGACGGAAGACGGACCGGAGCCGGAAGACCUGCCUUAUCUCGUUUUCGGUC